GUCACUCCCCGUCACGUGGCGGCGUGCCCCGCCCCUCGUGGCGUCAGGGGGCGGGGCGGGCCGCACCACUCGCGGCGCGGGGGUGCGCGGGUGUGGGGCGCGCAGGCGUGGGGCGCGCCGGCGGGGCCCCUGGGCUGGCCUGGGGUCUGGCCCAACGCAGGGGCGCGGGCCGGGCUCAGCGGCCGCGGGCGGCUCGGGCCGCGGGUUCGGGGCCUGUGAAGGCCGCCGCAGGCCAGGGAGCUCCCCCGGAGCCCCAAAGCGCGACGGGGGCGGGGCUGGGCGGCUCUGGAAGCCAGACGCCCCCAAUAUGGUCUUCGGCGCUUGCAAGCCCCCGCCGCAGCUUCGGGAAUUUUUUCCGCAGUUCUGGGCCCGCCCCUCUGCGGCCCGGAUCCCGGCCCUGCGGGCGGGUGGCGCGGCCUCCUGCUGCAGCCGGGCCCUCCGCCGCUGCCAGUCUCCGUGUCUUGGCCCUCCGUCCUCCUCGCCAGACCGGAUCCAGUUGCCCCGCGGCGAUUGUGGUCCCUCCCCAGCAGCUGAUCCCUGGAGAACCUUCCUUAGAACCCAGGGUUAGAAAUUGCGUUAUCUGCCUCACUAGAUGGAUGAAAACUUUAGGGAGACCCAUGUGCCCCAAAGCAGGAUCAAACAAACAGUGGAAAAUUGGCAAGAAAUAAGACUCCUAUAGAUCUUGAGAAUUGCCAAGUAUAUGAACCACCAGCGCGUGGAAUCCUGCGGUGAGCUAAUGUUACAAUGAAAAAAGAAGACAAAAUAGAAGAGACAGAGCCAGGCUUCAGAUCCAGAUCUGCCGGAGCCUGACACCCCACACUCUUAAAUGGAGGGUAAUGACAGAAAAGGGGCUGGUGUACAGAGUGACGACCCAGGGCUUCCUAGGGCUGCUGCUGGCAGGCCAGUCACUUCAAGGUUGUUGCUGGCACAAAGGCCUUCUGGAUCUGUGGUCUGUAAAGAGAACAUGGUCGCAGCAGCCAUGACACAUGCUAGUGGCCCACAUCUACUAGUGACACCCAGAGUGGGCACCAUGCACGUGAGAGCCAGAGGGGCAGCCGGAUGCCAGCCUCCCUCCAGUCUUCCUCCUCCAUUUCUUCACACCUUGUGUAGAGACAGUUCCUCCCCCUGAGAGGACACUCUGCAGGCCACAUCAAGCCUUGGGAGCUCCACAGUUGCUGACUUCUCUGGAAACAGCCAACCUGGUGAAGGAAACGCACGAUCUGGAGUCACAGGUGUCUAGCUCUGAAUCCUGGCAUUGCUGCUCACAGCUGUGUGGCCCGGAGAGCCUCUCUGAACCUUAGUUUCCCCAGGGGUACGAUAAGAACUGGAGACAAGGAAUGUAACAGAGUGGCAGAGCCACCACUCAAUAAAUGCUGGCUGUUUUUAGUCCCAAAACAUCCAGGGGGAAAGCCUCAUCUUUGGAUUUGGGAAUUUCCUCCAUGGACUGCUGUGAAGAUUUUCCCAGCCUGCCAUCACUCCCUUCCUUGUGAGUAGUUCUUCAUUUGUACAUUCCGACCCGUUUCUGCACAAAACCGGUUGGUUACCCUGCUGGCAUGGGUCCGCUUCCACCCAAGAAAUAAUAGGGGCUUCUCACUAGCUAGUGACAGCCCAGCAGUUCCUGCAAGGGGACUCUCUGAAUUAAGGGAGCAGAGAACUGUGCUAAGAUAGAACCACUCAAUUUAGGAAACACCUCCUCUCCAAAUUAUGCUAAAAGAAGGUACAUUAUAACUGUGAUCAUCUCUGGUGUGGGGAUUCUGGAGUAUCGUCACCAGAAGGUUGUUGGCGUGAGGAAUCACUAAGCCUUCAGAGAGAAACAUGGACGACAAUUUGGGGACUAAUAGGCUCUGAGACCUUGGGGUGAAACUUCCAAGAGUACAGAAGGGAAUGGGGCCUCCACACUCUGGGGAGAUGUGGCGUGUCGCUGAGAGCAAGUACUCACCCUAGUGACAGAAGGAUCAAACCUAGUUCGCGUCGUGCUCUGUCAUGCUCCUCUUGGUGGAGAAAGGUAAGUCCCUUCACGUCUCGUGCCCAGUGUCUUUUUGUCCUCAGAGGUAGAGAGACGUUUUCUGCUCCUGCAGCGGUCAGUACAAACCGGACAUUAAUGGGCCCUUGAGCUGAGUUUGGGUGAGCGUGGGGAUGGAGAUGGUAUCGUUCAGUGGGAAACCAUUCAGCACUGUAGAGGAAUGAACUGUUGACAUGGGCCGCAACGUGGAUGAGUCUCAAAAACAUGAUUCUGAGUGAAAUCAUCCAGACGGAAAAGAACUCCCGCUGUAUGGUUCCAUUUAGGUAAAGUUCUGAAACAGGCAAAAUUAAUCUGUGGGGAUAAAAGUCCGAACCAGGGGUUGCCCAUGGUGGAGGAAUGACUGGAAAGAAGCAUGAGGAAGCUUCUGGGGGAUGAAGCCAUUCUUCCUCUUGAGAGGGGUGGUGGUGACACAAGAGGGUACGCUAGUAACAGCUCACCAAACUGUACUCUUAAAAUCUGGGCAUUUUAUUGUACAGCCAUUAUUCCGUAAUUAAGGAAAAAUAUUCCAGGACUCAGAUUGUUGUCUUUCUCAGUGGGUAGCCAGGGGUCUUCAAAGGAAGGUGCUGUCAAAGUGCCCACUGCACACAUUCAUGUGAAUCCUUAUGUAACUAGAAGAACCAAGCUCCUCCCUUUGCCGCCGCUUCUGUGCCAGCCCUUGGCAGAGCCUGAAUCCUUACAUGCUGUGGUGUGCCAGUGAGUGUGUAACCGGCUCUCUAGGAAAAGAAAAGUUCUCGUUUGUAGCA